AUCCAGCUGACGAGUUUCAAACAAGACGAAACAGAUGUCCUGUGU
rnacentral:hammerhead_ribozyme from 1 species